GGUACCUGAUGAGCCCACUGUGUCCGUUGCUGUCUCACAGCAACUGGGGAAGGGCUUCGUCUGGGAUCCCAUUCUCCUCCGGGAUCCCCUCUCAUGAGGAGACACGUUCUGCUGCCUCAUUGUGGCAGCCUUGGGGGUAAGGAAUUGAGACCCACCGAGUUUGACAAAUAAACCCGGACUCUCAGCAAUGCAGGAUGAAAAGGCCUACAGAUACCACAGUGACCAGGUAACUUUGUGCACAAACCAAGACUCAAGGUCUUCUAGCACAGACUCC
rnacentral:lncRNA from 1 species